UUUCCGUAGGUGAACCUGCGGAAGGAUCAUUCAUAAUAAAGUGUUUUAUGGCACUUUUUAAAAAUCCAUAUCCACCUUGUGUGCAAUGUUAGAUCUCGUCAAUCUUGGCGAGAUUUUUAUACAUCAACUCAUUCUUUAACUAAUUUGUCUAAAAAAUAUUAUGAAUACUUAAUUCAAAAUACAACUUUCAACAACGGAUCUCUUGGCUCUC
rnacentral:misc_RNA from 1 species